AUACGAAAGGUGCAAGCGUUGUUCGGAUUUACUGGGCGUAAAGAGAGUGUAGGUGGUUUAUUAAGUCGGAUGUGAAAUCCCGGGGCUCAACCUCGGAACUGUAUUCGAUACUGAUAGGCUAGAGUUUGGGAGGGGUAAGCGGAAUUCCGUGUGUAGCAGUGAAAUGCGUAGAUAUACGGAGGAACACCUGAGGCGAAGGCGGCUUACUGGACCAAUACUGACACUGAGACUCGAAAGCGUGGGUAGCAAACAGGAUUAGAAACCCCGGUAGUCC
rnacentral:rRNA from 1 species